rnacentral:lncRNA from 1 species
UCAGCCACCCUCCAGGGUGGGGCCCUAUCCUCCUCCCACUGCCUUCUCCGGCCCUCACCACCCCGGGCAGGCACUGCUUCCCAGAGAGCCACCCGGGUCAGGAGUAAAGUGGCCUCUGUGGUCAAAGUCUGAAAAAGUUGCCCCCACACCUGCCUAACGGUGCACAGGGCUUUCUGGGGGGGUAGGGAGGAGGCAGGCAAGACUCUGGCACCUUUUCUGAGUCACAUCCCUUCUACCGGGGCCCUGAGCCUGCAGGACGGAAGGAUGUGGCCUUGCCUGUCAGAGGGUUCUGAGAACACGGAAGGCUCCUGAGUCCUCGAAGGGCAUCCUCAGUGGGAGAGUGGCCCUGAGCAGAGAGGAGCGUAAGGGGCAAGGCACACCCCUUGAGAGUGCUACCAGAUCACCUGGUUCAUAUCCCGGAGCCCCAGCCCGGACCAUGUGGUAAAAGUGGCCGAGUACAACAAAGUGAAGCUGAGCAUCUUCAUUGCCCGCCUCUAUCACGACUGUGACCCGGGAUUCCAGCACGGGCUUCGCAGACUGCAGGACACAGAGGCACGCGUGCACAUCAUGUCUUCUAAGGAAUUUGAACACUGUUGAGAAGACUGUGUACAAGAGAGAUGUGCCAUGUCAGCCUUGCAAGGGACAGCGUGAAAACUACCCAUCUCCGGUCACCAAGUUGCAGGGUAGCCUCACAGCUGAUGCCCUCGCUCCUCUCGGCUCCUGCUCAGCCUCCUGAUGCCUUCCCUCUGUCCUGGAUCAGAUUCACCCCUGCCUGGGCCUUCUGAGCUGCUCCUGCCCUGAGUACCACCCCUCAGUGCCCCCCACCUCACUGCCUCUUCCCCACUUUCCUGACCCUGCCUGUGAGAGGCUGCUUUCUGCCUCCAUAGCAACCUCUAUCCACCCCCCAGUCUCCUUCCUCCCAUCCUGGGGGCCCCUAGCCUGGCUCCUUCCAUCUCCUCAUCAUACCUAAAUCUUGUCAUUGAACUGAUAUAAAUAGGUAGUAGAAAUAUACAUAAGUGUGAAAGUUAAGUUUUGAGAAACACCUUUUGUAAAAAACCGAUGGUAAGUAUUGGGUCAUUCUUGUCACACCCAACUCAAACAGAGGCCAGGAGCCAGGAGGGGAAACCACUCAGUUUGCAAAACGUCGCUUCCACAAGCCUGAUGGCUGAAACUGCUCACUGUACCCUGAAACCAGCUUUACCUACAGCUUCUGAGAUAAACUGCUGCAACUCUGGGACCCACGAUGCCUAUCACAGUGGCUCAUCAAUGGAACCUGCCGGCUCCCAACCCUUCCUAGGGCCCAUGAACUCUCUGAAAAGAGGAACAGAAAUAUUUCUCCUUUUUGUAAAAUCUUUAACCUUCCCUUUGUUCUUCAUGUACACGCUGAACUGCAAUUCUUCUUCCCAAAUAAAACAUUAAAUUUA